rnacentral:tRNA from 1 species
GCCCCCGUAGCUCAGAUGGAUAGAGCGUCGGUUUCCUAAACCGUGCGUCGCAGGUUCGAGUCCUGCCGGGGGCGCCA